UCGAGCGGUAGCACAGAGAGCUUGCUCUCGGGUGACGAGCGGCGGACGGGUGAGUAAUGUCUGGGAAACUGCCUGAUGGAGGGGGAUAACUACUGGAAACGGUAGCUAAUACCGCAUAACGUCGCAAGACCAAAGUGGGGGACCUUCGGGCCUCAUGCCAUCAGAUGUGCCCAGAUGGGAUUAGCUAGUAGGUGGGGUAACGGCUCACCUAGGCGACGAUCCCUAGCUGGUCUGAGAGGAUGACCAGCCACACUGGAACUGAGACACGGUCCAGACUCCUACGGGAGGCAGCAGUGGGGAAUAUUGCACAAUGGGCGCAAGCCUGAUGCAGCCAUGCCGCGUGUGUGAAGAAGGCCUUCGGGUUGUAAAGCACUUUCAGCGGGGAGGAAGGCGAUAAGGUUAAUAACCUUGGCGAUUGACGUUACCCGCAGAAGAAGCACCGGCUAACUCCGUGCCAGCAGCCGCGGUAAUACGGAGGGUGCAAGCGUUAAUCGGAAUUACUGGGCGUAAAGCGCACGCAGGCGGUCUGUCAAGUCGGAUGUGAAAUCCCCGGGCUCAACCUGGGAACUGCAUUCGAAACUGGCAGGCUAGAGUCUUGUAGAGGGGGGUAGAAUUCCAGGUGUAGCGGUGAAAUGCGUAGAGAUCUGGAGGAAUACCGGUGGCGAAGGCGGCCCCCUGGACAAAGACUGACGCUCAGGUGCGAAAGCGUGGGGAGCAAACAGGAUUAGAUACCCUGGUAGUCCACGCCGUAAACGAUGUCGAUUUGGAGGUUGUGCCCUUGAGGCGUGGCUUCCGGAGCUAACGCGUUAAAUCGACCGCCUGGGGAGUACGGCCGCAAGGUUAAAACUCAAAUGAAUUGACGGGGGCCCGCACAAGCGGUGGAGCAUGUGGUUUAAUUCGAUGCAACGCGAAGAACCUUACCUGGUCUUGACAUCCACAGAACUUUCCAGAGAUGGAUUGGUGCCUUCGGGAACUGUGAGACAGGUGCUGCAUGGCUGUCGUCAGCUCGUGUUGUGAAAUGUUGGGUUAAGUCCCGCAACGAGCGCAACCCUUAUCCUUUGUUGCCAGCGGUUAGGCCGGGAACUCAAAGGAGACUGCCAGUGAUAAACUGGAGGAAGGUGGGGAUGACGUCAAGUCAUCAUGGCCCUUACGACCAGGGCUACACACGUGCUACAAUGGCAUAUACAAAGAGAAGCGACCUCGCGAGAGCAAGCGGACCUCAUAAAGUAUGUCGUAGUCCGGAUUGGAGUCUGCAACUCGACUCCAUGAAGUCGGAAUCGCUAGUAAUCGUAGAUCAGAAUGCUACGGUGAAUACGUUCCCGGGCCUUGUACACACCGCCCGUCACACCAUGGGAGUGGGUUGCAAAAGAAGUAGGUAGCUUAACCUUCGGGAGGGC
rnacentral:rRNA from 1 species